CCUACUUUAACAAGAUUUUUCUAUAUUUCUAUUGAGAUAUUUGUGAAAAGAAGUAGGAAUUUUGAUUGAUGGUUAUAUAGUGGUCCGAUCUGACAAAUUGUGAAACUUGAUCUCAAUGAGUUCAAAAAGGCUUAAUCUCCAAGUUUUAUUUUAGUAGUUUUCUAAUUGAGACAGACGGACGUGACUAUAUCGAUUCGGAUUCCCACGCUGAGCAACGCGGCAAUCAAUCAAAUUCUCUCUUUCAUCGAUCGUUCCUAUAGACGCUAUAUGCAUAUAGUAGUUCGGUCUUAAUGAAUUGACACUUGACUGUGUGGUAAACUAUUUUUCGAUAAAAAAAAUUUGAAAAACACGCCUUGUUUAUUCUGUCAAUUUGAACAAAAAGCAAUACGAAUUUGGGACAUUUAGUUCAGUUUUUUUAGUUUUUUAGGGAAGGCAGACCAGUUAAGAUUGGGCAUUUUUACUUUAAAUUUGUUUUAGAUGUUAUUAGAAGUAAAAAAAAAAACAAAAUACAAAAAUGAAGAUCUAAUUUUGGCUUGUUGUGAAAUUCAAAAUUAAAGAGUUGACUUCUUGCAACCUCCAGCGAUGUCCCAUGCUAAGAAUUCCUGGCGACGUACGUAAGCAGCACAGGACGGCUUGCCUUUACAGAAAGAGCCAAUCAAAUGAAUAAUGAAGACAAGGAUGCGAACUUGACAUUGAACAGCCAUUCGAGAGAUGGUCUAUUCGAGGAUCAAAAACAUGGCUCCUUUCUUCAUAUGCGGCAAUAAAUAUCGAGGUUCUCCUUAAUUAUCUGGGCAAGAAGGAGGGUUGGGAGAAUAGCAAAGCCUUCCAUUCUCUGGCCGACAAAGUACCCUUCUCAACUAUUGCUGACUAUUUUGACUAUUAUGGUUACAGUUCCGGACAAUCAAGAGCGCUUGGACAUUGAAGACAAGGUGGUACCUGAAUUGAGCGAUGGAAUAUCAAUUGCGUAUCACGAAUCUGACUGAAAAUUGCAUCAUCUACAUUUAAUAAAGUAGGUCUAGUCCGGAAAGCAGAAGCAUUGUGGAGCUCAGAUUUAGAUACAUUGGACGACCGACUAGCCAGUCUAUUCCAGUUUUAUAUUCCACCAAAAAACUUAGUUUAAAUAAAAAGCCACGCAAACCAUUUAGACACUUCGAA